rnacentral:rRNA from 1 species
CGGUAAUUCCAGCUCCAAUAUCGUAUAUUUAAGUUGUUGCAGUUAAAAAGCUCGUAGUUGGACUUUGGGACGGGUCGGUCGGUCCGCCUCGCGGUGUGCACCGGUCGUCCCAUCCCUUCUGUAGGCGAUGCGUGCCUGGCAUUAACUGGCCGGGUCGUGCCUCCGGCGCUGUUACUUUGAAGAAAUUAGAGUGCUCAAAGCAAGCCCACGCUCUGGAUACAUUAGCAUGGGAUAACAUCACAGGAUUUCGGUCCUAUUGUGUUGGCCUUCGGGAUCGGAGUAAUGAUUAAGAGGGACAGUCGGGGGCAUUCGUAUUUCAUAGUCAGAGGUGAAAUUCUUGGAUUUAUGAAAGACGAACCACUGCGAAAGCAUUUGCCAAGGAUGUUUUCAUUAAUCAAGAACGAAAGUUGGGGGCUCGAAGACGAUCAGAUACCGUCCUAGUCUCAACCAUAAACGAUGCCGACCAGGGAUCGGCGGAUGUUGCUCUUAGGACUCCGCCGGCACCUUAUGAGAAAUCAAAGUCUUUGGGUUCCGGGGGGAGUAUGGGCGCAAGGGCUGAAAAUUAAAGGAAUUGACGGAAGGGCAC